rnacentral:rRNA from 1 species
UACGUAGGGGGCAAGCGUUGUCCGGAUUUAUUGGGCGUAAAGAGCGUGUAGGCGGCCAGACAGGUCCGUUGUGAAAACUCGAGGCUCAACCUCGAGAUGUCGAUGGAAACCGUCUGGCUAGAGUCCGGAAGAGGAGUGUGGAAUUCCUGGUGUAGCGGUGAAAUGCGCAGAUAUCAGGAAGAACACCUAUGGCGAAGGCAGCACUCUGGGACGGUACUGACGCUGAGACGCGAAGGCGUGGGGAGCAAACGGG